CCCCCUUUCAAUCUAUGUGUGUAUAUAUAUAUAUACAAUAAUAGAAUUUAAUUCAAUAAUAAUUAAAUUCAGUUAUUGUAAUUAUAUAACUUGGUAUGCCUAUUAUUGAUUUAAAUUAACGGUGUGUUCGAUUCAUUUUAUACUGGUCACUUUAAUAUGCUAAUUAGUUUAGCCCGCGAAAUGUUAGUCCGUGCAAUUUACCUCGUGUGGUUUGGUCAUUUGAAUUCAAACCUUACACGGAGCUUGACCAAAGCUAUAGAAUUUACCCGCCCUCCCUUUUCCCCAUUAUGAAUAUUUUCUGCUGCUUUUCAUUUAUCGUUUCAGUUUUGGAAGAAUGAUUAUAAAACCAGCGUCAUGGCAUAUAUAACAGACUGAGUUUGGAGCUUUUUUGUAUUGUGAAUGGACAGGCGGAAUUUACUUUAAGCUGCUAUGGACUACCCAGUGGCUCCUGAUAUAACUUUGUUACUGCUGGGUCGCCCUUCAGUAAUUCAAUCGUCAUCAAGUUUUGAUUGACAAGUUGAUUGUGUUUCUUUCUUGCAAUAAAUGCCAUGACAAAUUUACAGCCAAAUAAAACAUAAUUUCUUUAGUGAUUUUGAUUUAUAGUUUAUUCGUUUGGAUUCAUUAAUUACAUCAUGAGGUCAAACAAUGAGAAUACAGAUUUAAACAAUACAAGUACACUUACAUUUUAUCUAGGCCCCCCUUUCAAUCUAUGUGUGUAUAUAUAUA
rnacentral:lncRNA from 1 species